ACUUUCAAAGGAUAAUAGUAAUCCAUUGACCUUAGGAGUCAAAAAUUUUGGUGCAACUCCAAAUGAAAGUA
rnacentral:tRNA from 1 species